rnacentral:rRNA from 1 species
GUGGGGAAUUGUUCGCAAUGGGCGAAAGCCUGACGACGCAACGCCGCGUGGGGGAUGAAGGUCUUCGGAUUGUAAACCCCUGUCGUGCGGGACGAACGACAUCCGGCCCAACACGCCGGGUGAGUGACGGUACCGCGUGAGGAAGCCCCGGCUAACUCUGUGCCAGCAGCCGCGGUAAUACAGAGGGGGCAAGCGUUGUUCGGAAUUACUGGGCGUAAAGGGCGCGUAGGCGGCCCACUAAGUCAGACGUGAAAUCCCUCGGCUCAACCGGGGAACUGCGUCUGAUACUGGAGGGCUCGAAUCCGAGAGAGGGAUGUGGAAUUCCAGGUGUAGCGGUGAAAUGCGUAGAUAUCUGGAGGAACACCGGUGGCGAAGGCGGCAUCCUGGAUCGGUAUUGACGCUGAGGCGCGAAAGCCAGGGGAGCAAACGGGAUUAGAAACCCCAGUAGUCC